CACGUAGGGGGCGAGCGUUGUCCGGAUUUAUUGGGCGUAAAGAGCUCGUAGGCGGCUAAGUAAGUCGGGUGUGAAAACUCCAGGCUCAACCUGGAGACGCCACCCGAUACUGCGAUGACUAGAGUCCGGUAGGGGAGUGUGGAAUUCCUGGUGUGAGCGGUGAAAUGCGCAGAUAUCAGGAGGAACACCAACGGCGAAGGCAGCACUCUGGGCCGGAACUGACGCUGAGGAGCGAAAGCGUGGGUAGCGAACAGG
rnacentral:rRNA from 1 species